rnacentral:rRNA from 1 species
CCCGGCCCCGUCCUUUUAAAAAAAAAAUGAUCUUCUUUAUUUUAUAACAACCGCGGGGGGUUAAGAGACAUAAAUAUAUUUAGAUAAGAAGAGCCUGCGGAGGUUUUAAAAUAAAAAUAGGUUUUAAUUAUUAACGAAAUCAAUAAACUAUUUCACAUUUUUAGUUGGGGCGACUAAUGAACAAACAAAGCUUCUUUUAUUUUUAUAAAUUUAUAGAUUUAGAUCCAGCAGAGCUAAUUAAAGAAAUUAGUUACCGCAGGGAUAACAGCAUAAUCUCCUUUGAGAGACCUAAUCGAAAAGGGGGGUUGUGACCUCGAUGUUGGACUAGAAUAUCCUGAAGAUGCAGACGUCUUCGAGGGGUUGGUCUGUUCGACCAUUAAAAUUCUACGUGAUCUGAGUUCAGACCGGG